UACGAAGGGGGCUAGCGUUGCUCGGAAUCACUGGGCGUAAAGCGCACGUAGGCGGAUCUUUAAGUCAGGGGUGAAAUCCUGGAGCUCAACUCCAGAACUGCCUUUGGUACUGGGGAUCUCGAGUCCGGAAGAGGUGAGUGGAACUCCGAGUGUAGAGGUGAAAUUCGUAGAUAUUCGGAAGAACACCAGUGGCGAAGGCGGCUCACUGGACUGGUAUUGACGCUGAGGUGCGAAAGCGUGGGGAGCAAACAGG
rnacentral:rRNA from 1 species